rnacentral:rRNA from 1 species
UACGGGGGGGGCAAGCGUUGUUCGGAAUUACUGGGCGUAAAGGGCGCGUAGGCGGCGUGACAAGUCACUUGUGAAAUCUCCGGGCUUAACCCGGAACUGCCAAGUGAUACUGUCGUGCUAGAGUGCGGAAGGGGCAAUCGGAAUUCUCGGUGUAGCGGUGAAAUGCGUAGAUAUCGAGAGGAACACCUGAGGUGAAGACGGGUUGCUGGGCCGACACUGACGCUGAGUGCGCGAAAGCCAGGGGAGCAAACGGG